GCCGGGGGGAGGGUGGAGGCGGAGGGACUGAGCCGAAGGGCCCGUACGGGCGGGUGCGGGGCCUCGGCCCAGCCUCUCCGCCGCCUUUGCCGCGGGCCCGGUUCAUUGUCCUUAUUCCCCUCAUCGAUGCCUUUUCCCCUCGUUCUCCCUCGCUCUCCUCCAGGCUCACGGGAAGGUCCGGAAGUGCCGCCCCCGGGAGCCGUCGGCGCCAGCUAUUGUAUACGCUACCUGGACAAACAAUCAUUUUCUUUCCAGUCCUGUUCUCAAGCUGUCCUUGCUACAAAGGGAACUCUGAGUCAUACAUCUGUCUGGCAAGUGUUUUCAUUUCAGUAUUCAAAGAUAAUGUUGAGCUGUGUUAAUGUGGAAAUUGGCUUUAAAGUUACAUCAGGGGCAGUUAGAGAAACUCGGACUUCUUUUUGAUGGGAAAACGUCUUUUCAGUGGCCUUUUGGUAAGGCAGUUUAACAACUAAAUGUCAGGCUAGAGCCCAUAAUCUUACUGAGUUUUAUUUCUAAUAAAAGAAUUCCUGUGCACAAAGUGUAAUAUAAUUUAAGACUAGCAGAAAAAGCUCCGGGCAGUAUUUUGGACAGUGCUUGGGUUGGUUUUUAUUUUUUGUUUGUUUGGGUUUUGGGGUUUUUUUUGUGUUUUUUUUUUUUUUUUUUUGCUAUUGGUGCAAUAGGUGAAAAGGUCACUAUAUGUAAUAAUAUUUUUUAAAUCAGGUUUACAAAUAUUAGGGCCUCACCCUGAUCUGUAUAAGUCAGUCAUAUAGCUGUGGUCCUAGAUUGCAUUAUUUUUAAGUUCCAAAGAGGAAGAAAUAAAUAUAUGUCUGCCUACAGUGUUGCUGAUAGACUUUUCUUCUGAUUUCAGGUGAGAAGUGACACCUGUGGAACAUGACUGGUAAUUCAACAGAAGUUUAAUGACUGUAGUUGCUAUGAGACUGCUACAGCUUGCUUACUUAAGACCCAGGCAAUUGGUAAAAUUUGGAAAUUAGGAAACCUUCUUUUAAAAAUAACUUCCUUCUGUGACUAGGGGGAGCAAGGGGAAGGCUUUUUCUAUGGUGAGUGUUAAAAAUGCUGUCUGCAGCUAGCCUGACUUGUCUUGACUGAAGCAGCAAUCCUGCCCCAGCUCUGAAGAUGCCUGCACUGUGGGAUGAGGUAGUAGGUUGUAUAGUUUUAGGGUCAUACCCACCACUGGGAGAUAACUAUACAAUCUACUGUCUUUCCUAAAGCAGCAGAUAAUCAACAAUGGAAGCUUCUCAGUUUUAAGCUCAAUGUCAGAUUUUGCUGAACUUCUGUAUUUGCAGUGCUUAUAACAGGACAAAAUACUUGUGUAAUAGCUAUGGGAAUUGUAUUUAGAUUUUUCUAGUUCUUGGAAAACCUAGGUUUCAUUCUGCAUUAGUUUUUCUGUCCUAAUGACUAAAAAGUUAAGAAUAGAUUAUUCCUGUAUGUGUAUGGUGGGGCAAUCAAAUACAAAUUCCAGUUGUUGGGUUGUUGGAUCAACCAUCCUUCAGAAUGAAACGGAGGUUGGCUACUGAGCUCUUGCUUCUCUGUCAGAGUGAGGUAGUAGAUUGUAUAGUUGUAGGGUAGUUAUUUUACCCUGUUCAGGAGAUAACUAUACAAUCUAUUGCCUUCCCUGAGGAGUAAAACAAACUGCACUCCCUUGCAGCCAGUCCUGGGCUAAAAACAUUCAUUGAGCAAAACGAGAUGAAUUCAGGCUUGGAAAGCAGCAGUGCCAGAAUGCACAGGACUGACAGUGUGAAUGGUGCAACCCCCACAGGAUAUCCUUGACUUAACAUAACUUUUCUCUCAAGGUGAGUGGCACAGUGCUGGCUGGGAAUGGAAAAUGCCCAUGCUUAGGUAGAGGGUAGAACACUCCACAGAGGAAAGUUACUCUUAGGCCAAUUAGGAGAACGUAAAAUACAGGGAGCUCAAGCUUGUGCAUUGUGAUUUAAACUCUUCUGGCACCCCAAUUUCCAUAAUGCAUUCAAACUCUGUGACUCCCAACUGCUUGGUAGAAGUUGGAGGGAAGACUUAAAAUGACCCUUUAUUAAUAAGUCUACAUGUUUUUCUGCAGCUUUUCCAGAUCCAAUGCAAAAUUUAAGUGUUGGCCAGUUUUGGCCAAAACUGACCUCUCACCUUUCUCGGGGCGGUGUGAAGCUAUGGAGUUUGAGCAUCCAAGAGCUAGAACUUUUCUCUGAGGUGGUAUUGUUUCUGUAAAAAGACUUCUGAAGUUUAUUGCAUUCUCUUUCAUCCUGCUGUGCUUGGUGUACCCAGUCUGUAACUGGUUCUGUGCUAGCAUGCCCAGCAAGCAGCUUGCUGUAGUAACAAAAAAACCCCACGUAAAUAAAUGCUUUUUGGAACGGGAAGCUCAGCUUAGGCAGAGUGAAAAUGGAGCCAUUGGUGAGUGUUACAGGCAGUGAGCCACUGUUUGUCAGUGUUGACAGUGUCACCUUGGAAUGUGUGCCCAGCCAGGGCAGAAGAGCAGAGCAGCUGGGGAGCUAAAGUCCUGCAGAGAGUGAAGAACUGCACAGAGGAAGCGUGGGGCUCCUAGGAAGAGGUAGUAGGUUGCAUAGUUUUAGGGCAGGGAUUUUGCUCACAAGGAGGUAACUAUACAACCUGCUGCCUUUCUUAGGGCUUUAUUAUAACACCAGGACCUUUUGGGCUCCAGCCUACAAACCUCUGCAGCUUUGGGACGUGGAGAGAAAGGACAAGGUAUUUCUAAGGCUGCUGAGACUUAAUGAAAACUGUGUCUUGGCAGAUUUGGUCCCAAACGGAAGUGUAGGAAUGCUGGCUGGAAUGCAGCAUGGUGACAUUGGGGCUGCACAUGCCACUUUGGGGACACUGGGCUGUGGUAAGUAAGAGGCUGUGCUGGGAUGGCACUCCUUCCAGAGUAAGCUGGAGGCCCCUGAGGCUAGGGUAGAGGUGUGAGCUGAACAUCAAGGUACUGGUACUGUGUGCUCACAGGGAGUUGAAAUACACCUUCCUUUGGCUUGGUGCAUUUCAAGUGGAAAAACUCCAGUUUUCCUUCCCCAAAAGUAUCAGAUUCCAGAUCCCCUGAAAGCUGGUGCUUUCUCACCAGGCAUGGCACUCAGAGUGAACAAGCUCUCAGUGCAUUAUUUACAGUGCUGCAGGGAGGAAAUUUCCAGUUAAAAAUGGUGACAUGGUUUCUCAUGGAAUUGUUAAAAAUCAGUCCAUGUUUUGUGAUGUAAUUGCAGUGCACCACAGCAGUAGUUCUGGUAGGGCUCCGGCUGGGCACUGUUCUGUGGGAUACUGUGAUGUCAAUUCUGAGCACCUUGCAGCAUUAAUGUGCUGUGCUCACACCAGCCACUAUUUAAAUUGCAAACCAGACACAGAACUAGCUUAUAAACAUGUUAGGUAUUGCUUAUAUUGGACAUUUUGUGUGAAUUUAACUGUACUUUUUUGAUUUAGUUAAUAAAAUACAGCAUUUUGUGCAACUGA